rnacentral:misc_RNA from 1 species
UUGCGGCGGCCGGUACUCUCGCUUGAUGUGAAGAGAAAGGGACGUGCUGGUCCCGAGUCCCUACCGCCCGGUGGUGGGUGCCUCGCCUUGCAAGCCAAGCUGCAUGGAAAAGCUGUGCUGUUGACUGUUGCUCGCUCAAUCACUAGUGGCAGAGCCUUGUUCAAGUCCGAUGACAGCUUUUCCAUAGCAUCAGGCCAUCAGCAUGUAAAACCUGCUGACCCGUCAAAAGUGGCGGAGCACGAACUAAAAAUAAGGGAAGCGGGCUUUGCAAGCAGCCGAAUCGGCGGAGCAGUGGAGCACGGGCUGCACAUCCGAAGCAGGCGGAGCAAAGCAAAGCAAGCAGCAAAGCAGGCAAGCAACCGUGGAGCAGUGAAGAUGGAGCACGGCCGUGCGGCCGUCGGCCGGCCAACGUCCAACGGGCCAACCGGCCAAGCACAGGCGCAUGGCAGGAAGGCAGAGGCAGCUAGGCAAGACCGCAGCCCGCGGGAAGCAGCAAGCCAGAGACGGAGGUGGGCAGGCGGCCGCGGACGAACAGGCGGUCGGCCGGCCGGGCGAGGAGCGAGCGAGCCCCGAGCGGACGUCUUGUGCUGCAGCGGUUGUGUUGCGGCGGCUGCGCUGUGCGUGCGGCGUGCUGUGGGUACGGAGACGGGCUAG